UUCAAUUUUUCACUAUUCGUUUUACUCAAAUUUUUUUUGCGAUUGAUAUUUUUGUUUUUAUUAGAUGAUAAAUUAUAAAUAGUACUUUAAGUGUGACUAAUUAUUUUCUAAUUUUCUAAAAAAUAUUUAAAUAAAACGAAUGAUCAAACAUUGGAGACAGAAACC
rnacentral:pre_miRNA from 1 species